rnacentral:rRNA from 1 species
UACGUAGGGGGCAAGCGUUGUCCGGAAUCAUUGGGCGUAAAGAGCGUGUAGGCGGCUCGGUAAGUCCGCUGUGAAAGUCCAGGGCUCAACCCUGGGAUGCCGGUGGAUACUGUCGGACUCGAGUACGGAAGAGGCGAGUGGAAUUCCCGGUGUAGCGGUGAAAUGCGCAGAUAUCGGGAGGAACACCAAUUGCGAAGGCAGCUCGCUGGGACGUUACUGACGCUGAGACGCGAAAGCGUGGGGAGCAAACAGG